rnacentral:rRNA from 1 species
UACGUAGGGUGCAAGCGUUGUCCGGAAUUAUUGGGCGUAAAGAGCUCAUAGGCGGUUUGUCGCGUCGGCUGUGAAAACCUGGGGCUCAACCCCGGGCCUGCAGCCGAUACGGGCAAGCUAGAAUUCGGUAGGGGAGACUGGAAUUCCUGGUGUAGCGGUGAAAUGCGCAGAUAUCAGGAGGAACACCGGUGGCGAAGGCGGGUCUCUGGGCCGAUAUUGACGCUGAGGAGCGAAAGCGUGGGGAGCGAACAGG